AGCAGACGACGGACGUUGAGGGUUUUCUGGUAUUCCCUCUCCGCAAACGUCACGCAGCCGCACCAAUCAGGGAGCGACUGUCGGGACGUCGUCUGCCUGGGAAACCGCGUAGAGCCUAGCUGUGAUCAUAUCGGACGUCGAAAGCGAAAGUUUUUCCUCGUCGCUGCUGGAUGAAUUCAGUGAGGACAGCUCGGACGACGUGGUGUCAGACGAUGAUCCGUAUUCAACGGACCCACUUCCGCUUCAUCCUCCGAUCAACAGGGAUGCAGUUGUUCGCGAAGUCACGCAAAACGAUGACUUUCGGUGUCUGUGUGGCGUCUGCAGUCCGGAGCAACCAGACGAAUACUUGUGCUGCACCUCAGUGAGCCAGGUUGCAGCUCUGUGUGACAGUGCUGGCGUGCAGUGCGUCACCGAGCACCGUCUGUUCCACGACUUCUGUCUGCGGAGGGAAAUGCUGGCGGUGAAUGCACGCCAGUACUGCCGCUACGACUAUCGGCUGCGGCUGUUGGAUCCGACAGACAACAGGUGUCUGAGGUUCACAGCCUACUCUAUAUUUGCCAGUUGGGUCUGGGGCUACCUCGGACCUAGAAAUAGGCGACAAAUUCCAGGCUGCGCUGUGCGAGCGAUUCGAAGAGAGCACCCGUCGCCUUCCUACC